UGAGAGUUUGAUCUUGGCUCAGGAUUAACGCUGGCGGCGUGCCUAAUACAUGCAAGUCGAGUGGGUUUAGACCCACGGCAAACGGGUGAGUAACACGUGGGUAUCUGCCUCAAAGACGGGUAUAACUCCGCGAAAGCGGAGCUAAUCCCCGAUAGUCCCGCAAGGGUAAAGGAGCAAUCCGCUUUGAGAGGAACCUGCGCACUAUCAGCUAGUUGGUGGGGUAAUGGCUCACCAAGGCUAUGACGGUUAGGGGCUCUUAGAGGAGAGACCCCCACACUGGGACUGAGACACGGCCCAGACUCCUACGGGAGGCAGCAGUCGGGAAUUUUGGACAAUGGCCGAAAGGCUGAUCCAGCGACGCCGCGUGCAGGAAGAAGGCUUUCGGGUUGUAAACUGCUUUUCACUAGGAGGCCCAGAUUUUUGCGAUUACGCAAAAAUAAUUUUGUAAUUUUUAAUUUUGUAAUUUUAUAAAUAAUGUUUUAAUCUCUAAUGUUUAAAAAUUAGAAAUUAAGAUUUAUUUAAAAAUUAUCACCGCCUCAAUAGUUUAAUAAUAAGAUGGUGUGGCAGGAUCCCGCUAAAGCGGGAAAAAUUGAAAAAAUUAAAAAUUGAUUUUUGCGCUUGGCGCAAAAAUCUGGGAUACAGUACUAGUGGAAUAAGUCACGGCUAACUACGUGCCAGCAGCCGCGGUAAUACGUAGGUGGCAAGCGUUAUCCGGAAUUACUGGGCGUAAAGCGUUCGUAGGCUUUUUUGUAGGUCUCUGAUCAAAUACUAAAGCUCAACUUUGGGAAGGUUGGAGAAACCACAAGAAUAGAAGGGUAUCGAGGCAAGUGGAAUUCCUGGUGUAGCAGUGAAAUGCGUUGAUAUCAGGAGGAACACCAAUGGCGAAGGCAGCUUGCUAGGUAUUUCUUGACGCUGAGGAACGAAAGCGUGGGGAGCAAACGGGAUUAGAUACCCCGGUAGUCCACGCCCUAAACGAUGGACACUAGAUUUUGGUAGUAUCGACCCUAUCAGGAUCGAAGCUAACGCGUUAAGUGUCCCGCCUGGGGAUUACGGCCGCAAGGCUAAAACUCAAAGGAAUUGACGGGGACCCGCACAAGCGGUGGAGCAUGUGGUUUAAUUCGACGGUAAACGAAGAACCUUACCGGGGUUUGACAUCCAGCUGCAAGUCCGAGAGAUCGGACCGCCUUCGAGGGUGCUGGACAGGUGCUGCAUGGUUGUCGUCAGCUCGUGUCGUGAGAUGUUGGGUUAAGUCCCGCAACGAGCGCAACCCCCGUCCUGUGUUGUAUUUUUCACAGGAGACUGCCGUGGUUAACACGGAGGAAGGUGGGGAUGACGUCAAAUCCGCAUGGCCCUUAUGUCCCGGGCUACACACGUGCUACAAUGGGAAGUACAAUGGGUUGCCAAACCGCAAGGUGGAGCUAAUCCCAGCAAAGCUUCUCAUAGUUCGGAUUGUCGGCUGAAACUCGCCGGCAUGAAGCUGGAAUCGCUAGUAACCGCGUAUCAGCUAUGGCGCGGUGAAUACGUUCUCGGGUCUUGUACACACCGCCCGUCACGUCAUGAAAGCCGGGGGUACCCGAAACUCCAACUUUUGUUGGAAAUAAGGUAAAACCGGUGAUUGGGACGAAGUCGUAACAAGGUAUCCGUACGGGAACGUGCGGAUGGAUCACCUCCUUUCUAAGGAGAAAG
rnacentral:rRNA from 1 species